AUAGCGUAUAUUUAAGUUGUUGCAGUUAAAAAGCUCGUAGUCGGAUUUUGGCUGAGAACGGUCGGUCCGCCAUUAGGUGUGCACUGACUGGUCUCAGCUUCCUGGUGAGGAGGUGUGCUUCAUCGCCACUUAGUCACCGUGGUUACUUUGAAAAAAUUAGAGUGUUCAAAGCGGGCUUACGCUUGAAUAUAUUAGCAUGGAAUAACACCGUAGGACUCCUGUCCUGUUUCGUUGGUCUCGGGACGGGAGUAAUGAUUAAGAGGAACAGUUGGGGGCAUUCGUAUUUCAUUGUCAGAGGUGAAAUUCUUGGAUUUAUGAAAGACGAACUUCUGCGAAAGCAUUUGCCAAGGAUGUUUUCAUUGAUCAAGAACGAAAGUUGGGGGCUCGAAGAUGAUUAGAUACCAUCCUAGUCUCAACCAUAAACGAUGCCGACUAGGGAUUGGCGGAUGUUAAUUGAUGACUUCGCCAGCACCUUAUGAGAAAUCAAAGUUUUUGGGUUCCGGGGGGAGUAUGGUCGCAAGGCUGAAACUUAAAGGAAUUGACGGAAGGG
rnacentral:rRNA from 1 species